rnacentral:rRNA from 1 species
GUGGAUUAGAUACCCUGGUAGUCCACGCCCUAAACGAUGUCUACUAGUUGUUGGGUCUUAAUUGACUUAGUAACGCAGCUAACGCGUGAAGUAGACCGCCUGGGGAGUACGGUCGCAAGAUUAAAACUCAAAGGAAUUGACGGGGACCCGCACAAGCGGUGGAUGAUGUGGAUUAAUUCGAUGCAACGCGAAAAACCUUACCUACCCUUGACAUGGUCGGAACCCUGGAGAGAUCUGGGGGUGCUCGAAAGAGAACCGAUACACAGGUGCUGCACGGCUGUCGUCAGCU